UACGUAGGGUGCAAGCGUUGUCCGGAAUUAUUGGGCGUAAAGAGCUCGUAGGCGGUCUGUCGCGUCGGCUGUGAAAACCCGGGGCUCAACCCCCGGGCCUGCAGUCGAUACGGGCAGACUAGAGUGCGGUAGGGGAGACUGGAAUUCCUGGUGUAGCGGUGAAAUGCGCAGAUAUCAGGAGGAACACCGGUGGCGAAGGCGGGUCUCUGGGCCGUAACUGACGCUGAGGAGCGAAAGCGUGGGGAGCGAACAGG
rnacentral:rRNA from 1 species